GGGGAAUAUUGCACAAUGGGCGAAAGCCUGAUGCAGCGACGCCGCGUGAGUGAAGAAGUAUUUCGGUAUGUAAAGCUCUAUCAGCAGGGAAGAAAAUGACGGUACCUGACUAAGAAGCCCCGGCUAACUACGUGCCAGCAGCCGCGGUAAUACGUAGGGGGCAAGCGUUAUCCGGAUUUACUGGGUGUAAAGGGAGCGUAGACGGUAAAGCAAGUCUGAAGUGAAAGCCCGCGGCUCAACUGCGGGACUGCUUUGGAAACUGUUUAACUGGAGUGUCGGAGAGGUAAGUGGAAUUCCUAGUGUAGCGGUGAAAUGCGUAGAUAUUAGGAGGAACACCAGUGGCGAAGGCGACUUACUGGACGAUAACUGACGUUGAGGCUCGAAAGCGUGGGGAGCAAACAGGA
rnacentral:rRNA from 1 species